ensembl:lncRNA
CUCUGAAUUGGAUUGUUUAUACUAAAUGUCAGAAUAUAAAGACUUGGGCUCAUUUUCAACUGGACAUGUUGAGUCAAAGUUUAAUUUCCUUGCUUUCAGGCAUGUCUGAAGCUGAAAGAGCUCUAUGAUAGGAUGACAUGUAAACAUUUAUCAAUCAGACCAGAGCACAAAGGUCAAACAAAGGUUUUUCGAAAGAUCAAUGAGAAUGGAUUCAUUUUUGGAGAAGGUGAUGGGUGAAAGCAAUGCUUGUCUUGUCUCUUUUUCAUGCAAAAAGCCACCCUUCCCAAGACCAACCACUCAGUGAUGAAGAGUCAUAAAGUAGGGAGGAGGCAAGGGCACAGGGAGUGUGGUGCCAGGAAAAUAACCUCUCAUCCAACGUCAACAAAACAAAGGAGCUGAUUGUGGACUUCAGGGAAAGGCAGAGGGAGCACCCCCCUAUCCACAUCGACGGGACAGCAGUGAAGGUGGAAAGUUUCAAGUUCCUCGAGAUGCACAAUCGAGACAAUCCCGUCAGGCUGUAUUACAGCCUGGUAUGGCAACUGCACCGUCCUCAACCGGAAGGCUCUCAUGAGGGUGGUGCGGUCUGCACAACUCAUCACCGGGGGAAAACUACCUAGCCCUCCAUGACACCUACAGCAUCUGAUCACAGGAAGGCCAAAAGGAUCAUCAAGGACAACAACCACGCGAGCCACUGCCUGUUCACACCUCUACCAUCCAGAAGGCGAGGUCAGUACAGGUGCAUCAAAGCUGGGACCGAGAGAUUGAAAGAACAUCAGACUGCUAAACCGUAAUCACUAACUCAGAGAGGCUGCUACCUACAUUGAGACCCAAUCACUGGCCACUUUAAUAAAUGGAUCACUAGUCACUUUAAACAAUGCCACUUUAAAUAAUGCAACUUUAAAUCAUGUUUACAUAUCUUUCAUUACUCAUAUAACAUGUAUUUUACACCAUCUAUUGCACCUUGCCUAUGCCGCUCGGCCAUCGCUCAUCCAUAUACUUAUAUGUACAUAUUCUCAUUCACCCCUUUAGUUUUGUUUGUAUUAGGUAGUUGUUGGGGAAUUGUUAGAUUACUUGUUAGAUAUUACGACACUAGAAACACAAGCAUUUCACUACACUCGCAUUAACAUCUGCUAACCACAACCCACAAUGACAAAACAGGCUACCUAAAUAGGGUUCCCAAUCAGAGACAACGACUAACACCUGCCUCUGAUUGAGAACCAUAUCAGGCCAAACACAGAAACAGACAAACUAGACAUAAAACAUAGAAUGCCCACUCAGAUCACACCCUGACCAAACAAAACCUAUAAACAUACAAAGCAAACUAUGGUCAGGGCAUGACAAUUUGAUUUGAUUUUGAUCGAUAAUGUCAAAAGCCACAUUGAAGUCUAAAAAAACAGCCCCACAAUCUUUUUAGCAUCAGUUUGUUGAAUGUCUCCUAUAAGCGUGCUGAAAAUGUGUUUACUGUAAAAUAGAAUUGUAUCUGGUCAAAUACAAUUUUUUUCAAAACUUUACUAAGGGUUACAGGCUGAUUAGUUGGCUAUUUGAGCUAUUAAAAGGGGGUUUGAUAUUCUUAGGUAGAGGAAUGAUGCAUGUGCAUGGGCACAAACUUUCUAGUAGGCUUAAAUUGAAGAUAUGGCAAAUAGGAGUGACAAUAUCGUUCGCUAUUAUCCUCAGUAAUUUUCCAUCCAUGUUGUCAGAUCCCGGUGGCUUGUUAUUGUUGAUAGACAACAAUAAUUUUUUCACCUAUUCCACAAUCACAUUACAGAAUACAAAAUUACAACACUUGUCUGUCUUAAUUUUGUCAAAUAUACUUGGAUGUGUAUUGUCAGCCUUUGUUGCUGGCAUGUCAUGCCUACAGUAUUAGUGAUGCACUGACAUUGCAUUUUUGACCAACACCGUUAUCCGAUAUUUUCCUUGCCAAAAAAAACCCUGAUGCCGAUAACCGAUAUUUACAAUUUUAGUGGCCUUUCAAGCAUUCUAGCACAGUUAAAUAGUUAACACACACACACAUGGACACAGCGCGCUAAGGCACUGCAUCUGUGCAAGAGGUGUCACUACAGUCCCUGGAUCGAAUCCAGGCUGUAUCACAUGAUUGGGAUGAUUGUCCCAAUCAUGCCAUGAUUGGGAGUCCCAUAAGGAGAUGCACAAUUGGCCCAGCGUCAUCCGGGUUUGGUCAGGGUAGGCCGUCAUUGUAAAUAAGAAUUUGUUCUUAACUGACUGCCUAGUUAAAUAAAGGUUACACACACACACAUUCUACACUGACCAAAAAGUUAUUCUGUUGGCAUUUCUGUAUGUCCCCAUUACCAGUAAAACUUAAUAAAACCUAUUUCUUUCACUUA